CGAAGGGGGCUAGCGUUGCUCGGAAUCACUGGGCGUAAAGCGCACGUAGGCGGACUCUUCAGUCAGGGGUGAAAUCCUGGAGCUCAACUCCAGAACUGCCUUUGAUACUGGGAGUCUUGAGUUCGGGAGAGGUGAGUGGAACUGCGAGUGUAGAGGUGAAAUUCGUAGAUAUUCGCAAGAACACCAGUGGCGAAGGCGGCUCACUGGCCCGAUACUGACGCUGAGGCACGAAAGCGUGGGGAGCAAACAGG
rnacentral:rRNA from 1 species